rnacentral:rRNA from 1 species
UACGAAGGGUGCAAGCGUUAAUCGGAAUUACUGGGCGUAAAGCGUGCGUAGGCGGUUAUCUAAGUCUGUUGUGAAAUCCCCGGGCUCAACCUGGGAAUGGCAAUGGAUACUGGAUAGCUAGAGUGUGAUAGAGGAUGGUGGAAUUCCCGGUGUAGCGGUGAAAUGCGUAGAGAUCGGGAGGAACAUCAGUGGCGAAGGCGGCCAUCUGGAUCAACACUGACGCUGAGGCACGAAAGCGUGGGGAGCAAACAGG